AGCCCCAUCGUCUAGUGGCUAAGGAUACAGGUUUCUGGGACCUGUGACCCCAGUUCGAAUCUGGGUGGGGCUA
rnacentral:tRNA from 1 species